GACACCAGUCUGAUUCGCACCCAUCUCGGUGAACUAAUCCUUUGCAGAGGCCGCAGGCCUGGCACAGUCCAAGAAGGGGAGUGAGGCGAAAAGCACAUUUGUGUUCGAUCUGAAAAUGUGGUUCGGAAGCGCCGUUAGGAUGAGGCUGUGACGCAAUUGCCAUACGGAGACCAAAUUGAGCUCCGCACCGCGUCGCCCAAAUGUUGUAACAAUGCUCCGGUAUAGCUCCGCAUUGACAUGAUCGGUUGACGGUAGUAGGUGAGGGCAGGAAGUCCUGUACAACAGCUCUGCUCAGCGAAGCCCUGACUUCAGCAGUGGCCGUAUCGCAGUAAAUGCUUCUACGGCCACUACUGCAACAACAGAAAAAAAUCAGAUUAUACAUGCAGAGCAUUAAAAAAAAAGGUUUCUGCAUGGAUAAUCCCACGACUGCAGUGGGCCGUACAGCAUUUACGGCGAUACCGUCUCUGCAGCAGUCAAGGGCAUUCGUACUACUUGCGCUUCGCUGAGGAAAGCAUGUUUAAAAUGUACUGACUGACAAGGUCUCUAAAUCUAUUGGUCAUCAGAGUACCACUGCUAAAUCUGAGGGGAGUAUAGAGGAGUACUGGAACUGAAUUAUGAAUACAGCGGGUUAGGUCUGUGAAUAGAGGAGACGUUGUGGAAAACGGACUGACUGAAAAUACGUCGCUACUGGCGUUGUACAGAUGGAUGACUACCGGACUCAAUACUGUAACACUGUCUCAACCUAAACCCCUCUUAUGGAGCAGCAGAGUGAAAUGUAAGAGAACUGAAUCGGGGAUGAGGGAGGACGGGGAACGAGUGAACACAACUAGGACGAGGAGAAUAAAAAUGGGCCAACUUUCCUCCCUCCAUUAGCCAACGUCCUUAGGGACUGAUGACAUCAUUCCAUCACUUCCUGCCUCCAACCCCAUGUCGCCAUCAUCCCGAAGAGCAGAGCCCAGAAGCCAUUGUGUGUGUGGUGUGUUUGAUUGUAUAUUCUGACUUCAAAAAGGUCUGAUUUGGAUUAUUUUUUUUUGCAGGUGGAUCAAAUUAUUUUCUGCAUAAAUUUCAUAGAUAAAUGUAUAAAAUAUCCAUCUUCCUUCUUUAUUAUUGUCCCCUAACUGUACCACCCCUCUCCUAAUUGUAAACUAAUGAACAAUACUACUUAGGCUUCCACUUUCUACUAAACAUUUCAGACAGUGUAUUUUACAUUAGUUAUCUUGUUGUUUUUAGUCACAUCCUUCAGCUCCCAUCUAUCUCUGAACACCAUCCAGUCCCAUCCUCCAGCACCCCUCAACCCCUCCAUCUAUCUCUGAACACCAUCCAGUUCAUUUCUAGCUGCCCUCAACCCCUCCAUCUAUCUCCCCUAUAUUUUUCCACUGUGCUGUUUCACAAAAGUUCGGAACAUUUAAAUGUUCAUAGUUUCUACAGAAUGUAAAUUAAAAAGAUGAACAGCUUUGUUAAUAGUAUUAUAUUAUUGAUCGAUUAACUAUGACUUAUCAAAUAAAUAAAAAAAGCAUAUGGGCAGUACCAAAACAAGUGCUGUAAAAACUGGACCGCUCCAUC
rnacentral:lncRNA from 1 species